ACUAAAAUUUAAACAAACGCGUACGAAGAUAAAUAAACGGACACAAGAUGUGUUCAUGUUCAUUUAUUUAAUUAAGCGAACAAAAUCUUUGUCCGGGUUCGUUCGUUUAUUAAAUAAACGAACUUCACGCCAAACAAGUUCAUAGUUCAUGAACCUCUGCCCCAACUGUGUUCUCCGGCACUGUUUUUUCCAGUAAUCUUCUCUGAUCGAUUAUUUUUCCUUAACUCCGAAUGAACUGCACAAGAUUUCACCUUCGUUAUUACUCUAUUAACUGUCAUUGCCGGUUGAAUCAAAUUGCUUAUGGUUUUGCCUUACUAGCAACCCUUUUCAAGCAAGGUUAUUCACCCGAUCAGGCCACCUAUAACACUCUCAUAAAUGGGCUUGUUCUGGCUGAUCGGGUUUUUGAAGCGGUUGAGUUGUUCAAGAAACUGCUUAUAGAUAAACUUUGUGAGCCUGAUCAGAUUACGUUUGGAGUCGUAAUUAAUGGACUGUGUAAAGUUGGUGACACUAGCAAGGCCCUUGAACUGCUCAGGUUCAUGGAAUCAGUCUCUUGUAAAUGUAAACCAUAUGUAGAACACUACAAUGCAGUCAUUGAUAGCCUCUGCAAAGAUCGAAUGGUAGAUAACGCAUUAGAAUUAUUUACCCAAGUGAUGCAUUGGUUCUGUUCCGUUCUAUGGGAAGCAACAAACUGAUGAAAGACGUCAAUCUGUAUAAUAUCUUGAUCAAGGGUUGUAGAAAAUGUGGUAAGCUUGAUUUGGCAAUGGAUCUGUUUGGCGAACUAUCUUUAAAAGGAUUGAAACCGAAUGUUAGGACGUAUACAGUGACGAUAAGCGUGCUUUGCCAACAAGGCUUAUUUGGUGAAGCGAACAACUUGCUAAGAAAGAUGGAAGAGAAUGGUUGUUCGCCAAAUAGUGUGACGUGCAAUGUGAUUGUUCAGGAAUUCUUGAAGCAAAAAGCAUUCCAAGAAGCAGAGAUUCUUCUUGAGGAGAUGAUUAUCCGAGGUUUCUCACCUGAUUCCGCUACUUUUGAGAUGUUGCUUCACCAUAUCCCAAGCAAAGGACAAGAUUCUCCUAUGCGAAUCAUCAUUCAGAAGCUAACAAACAAACAAUAAAUGAAUCAAUUGAUAAGUUAUAUUAAACUCAUAAAGUAGAGUGUAUUUGUUUGCUGGUAUUUGGAAUAUUUCUCAUCCAUGAUAUUAUCAUGAAUGCCAAUAUGCAGUUGAUCUUUAUACAGUAUUUGGACCGGCUCAAAGAAAUAUAAUGACAGUGUGCAAAACUCUCUUAGAACCAAAAUAGGACUGGACCAGACCAGACACAACGGAACCCUCUAUCCCUGAUGUGGUCCUCAGUUCAAGAUUUGGGUUUUUAAUUCAGCCGCUCCUAAAGAAUGGUCUAACGUACGGGAAUUAUAAAGACCAUCGGAAAUGACCCACGGGCCACGACACAUGAGAGGUGUACAUAGGCGAGUAAAAAAAUGGUCUUCUUUGGACGAGAGCGACAUCAAUGCACCCUUUGGUGUUAUAAAUGAAUCCUACAGCUGCUAGGGAACUGUUUAACAAGAUGCAAGCAAAGGGUGUAACUCCAACUGUAUUGACUUACGGUAUCUUGCUCCAUGGUAUGUGCGAGAAUGGUGAGUGUUCUGAUGCAUUGGUUCUGUUCCGUUCUAUGGGAAGCAACACACUGAUGAAAGAUGUCAAUCUGUACACUAUCUUGAUUAAGGGUUGUAGAAAAUAUGGUAAGCUUGAUUUGGCAAUGAAUUUCAAGUAGCAGAGAUUCUUCUUGAGGAAAUGAUUAACCGAGGUUUUUCUGUGGAUUCCGCUACUUUUGAGAUGUUGCUUAACCAAAUCCCGAGCAGAGGACAAGAUUCUCCUAUGCAAACUAUCAUUCAGAAGCUAACAAACAUUAAAUGAAUCAAUUGAUAAG